rnacentral:tRNA from 1 species
GAUAUAGCUCAGUGGUAGAGCAGCCCCUGCUUAGCAUGCAUGAGGCCCUGGGUUCAAUCCCCAGCACCA